rnacentral:lncRNA from 1 species
UGCUGCAAGAAUAUGUAUUCACAUGCAAGGGUUUCUAAGUCCUCGUUCAAAGGUUCAAGGAAGCACUGCGGCUAGAUCAUGCAAUGCCUUUCUCAAUUGGACAAUGGACCAUACCUUUCCAACCCAAAAACAAGAGAGAUUCAUGAUGCACUUGUGCUAACAGUUGAUUAUUCCGGGUGUCUAACCUAACUAGGUGUUGAAUUUGUCAAGGUAAACUAACAUAUAUUUACCAUAAUACCUUGUUGGGUUUUAACUUAUUUUUUUAUUUGAAUAGUAGAAAAUUAGAAAAUUUUAACUUAAAUAAGCAAUAAACAGGUGCUUUUCAAGUAGCAUUUUUUUUUUUUGUGCUUUAGCUAAGAAUGAUAAGUAGAUCGAAGAAUUUUUACCAAGAAACUCUUUAAAAUAUCUGACAUUUGUGAAGAACAAUGAAGGUGGUAAAUCAAUAGUAAAUAUUACUCAAGGAAGUUUUUCAAGGUGCUUCAUUCCACUUGAUAGAGAUACUGUGUCACAAGUCUAUUCUGCUAAGGUUAGAUCAGCAUUUUUUCAGCGUAGCCAUUGAAAUGAAGUUGACAAUCAACUCUAACAAAUUCAAGGAAGAAGGAAACUACUUGCCGACAUUUAUAGAAUUGCGACAUUCUUUUGCCUCUUCUUUCUUAUUUGUUUUGAAUUAUAAUAUAUGAAUAUCAAUCAUGACUCUUUUCCUUGGGUUAUUAUGCCAAACUAGCUAAGAUUAGAACCUCACUUUGUAAGCAUAGGAAGGAUUAUCAUCUCACUGUUCUUCCGAGUUUUACAUAGACAUACAGCUUUCAUUCUCAUGUUCUAUUAACAUUGAAACUGUGCAAAUUUUAUUGCCCUCGCUAAUUUUUGAAUUCCAUUUUUGGUUCAUCUAGUAAUUAUUUGGAAUGCUCAUCUUUCCAUUACUAGUUGCUAACAGUGUUCUUUGUUCAUUGUCAACUCUUUAUCCAAUAUCUGUAUCAAUAUUGAAGACAAUCAGUGUCUAAUAGGCUUUGUUGGAACAUGUAGGAAGCAGCAGCUUUCGAGCUAAAGUGUAUGAAUGCUGUCUCGAUGGAUUAAAGGUUUACUUUGUUUCUCUCAAAGUUGGCAUGUCUUUCACACACAUAUGGAAGUGCUCGACCCUUCAUGUAUUUUGCAGGUUUCUUCUGAUUUGAUUUGCCUGAGACAAAGGAAAGCAUAUGAAGGAAC